rnacentral:rRNA from 1 species
UACGGGGGGGGCAAGCGUUGUUCGGAAUUACUGGGCGUAAAGGGCUCGUAGGUGGCCAACUAAGUCAUACGUGAAAUCCCUCAGCUUAACUGGGGAACUGCGUCUGAUACUGGAUGGCUUGAGUUUGGGAGAGGGAUGCGGAAUUCCAGGUGUAGCGGUGAAAUGCGUAGAUAUCUGGAAGAACACCGAUGGCGAAGGCAGCUCUCUGGGACGGUACUGACGCUGAGGCGCGAAAGCUAGGGGAGCAAACGGG